rnacentral:rRNA from 1 species
UUCGCAAUGCCCGAAAGGGUGACGAAGCGACGCCGCGUGCGGGAAGAAGGCCUUCGGGUUGUAAACCGCUGUCGGGAGUUAAGAAAUGUAAGGAUGUUAAUAGCAUCUUUGCUUGACUAAGGCUCCGGAGGAAGCCACGGCUAACUCUGUGCCAGCAGCCGCGGUAAUACAGAGGCGGCAAGCGUUGUUCGGAAUUAUUGGGCGUAAAGAGCACGUAGGCGGCUAUGUAAGUCGGUUGUGAAAGCCUUCCGCUCAACGGGAGAACAGCAUCCGAUACUGCAUGGCUUGAGUGCGGGAGGGGAGAGUGGAACUUCUGGUGGAGCGGUGAAAUACGUAGAUAUCAGAAGGAACGCCGGCGGCGAAAGCGGCUCUCUGGCCCGUAACUGACGCUGAGUGUGCGAAAGCUAGGGGAGCAAACGGGAUUAGAUACCCCGGUAGUCCUAGCCGUAAACGAUGGGCACUAAGUAGAGGGGUUUU